CCCGCCAAGGAGGGCGCCGGGCAGCCGUGCGGAGGCGGUGCGGAGCCGCCCGGGGCGCGCCGGUCCCCACAGCGUGACGGUGGCAAGUUACGGACCCAGGUCUCCCCAUUUGUAAAAGCGGUUAGGAAGCCCAGGCCCAGAAUGCAGGCGACUUGCCCAGUUUCAGGUGUACAACAUAAUCAUUCAGUGAUUACAUACGUCACAAAAUGCUCACCUCGGUAAGUAUAGUUACCACC